rnacentral:rRNA from 1 species
UACGUAGGGUGCGAGCGUUGUCCGGAAUUAUUGGGCGUAAAGAGCUCGUAGGCGGUCUGUCGCGUCUGCCGUGAAAACCCGAGGCUUAACCUCGUGGCUUGCGGUGGAUACGGGCAGACUAGAGGUAGGUAGGGGAGAAUGGAAUUCCCGGUGUAGCGGUGAAAUGCGCAGAUAUCGGGAGGAACACCGGUGGCGAAGGCGGUUCUCUGGGCCUUACCUGACGCUGAGGAGCGAAAGCGUGGGGAGCGAACAGG